CCUGCCAUCUGACAAUUCGCCGAGUUUAUCAAAAAAAAAAUCUGACAAUUCGCCGCCCUCUGCAUCUGCUACGACACGGGGUUGUCUGCUGCCAGAUUCGCCGCCGGAACGCCCACCCCGCCAAUGCCGGUCAACUCGUUGGCCUCCGGCCCUUCCUCGUCGAUUCUUCAUGCCAGAAGGCGCCCGACCACGCGCGGACGGCGGCUACGUUAUCGGAGCGUCCUCCCGGGCGGCACAGCGUGGAUGUAGAUGGUUUCUUCCCCAACUCCGGCCGGCGACCACGGCAUUUGAAUCUUCUCACCCGGUGUAUUCACCUCAUCUGGUACAAUAUUUGUAUCCCAGUUAGUUGACCAUGCACUUUUCUGUUGUAUACUUGCUGAUGCAACAUAUCAGUUGUAAUCAUGGCCACACACACACUGCCUGGAAGGAGACGUCAGGGUUGUCAUUGACUGGGAUGGGCAGGAGGCGGCAGGAGAGGCAGUAAGCACCUCGACAAUGACAGCCGUGACCCAGCUUAUUUGGUUAUCCUUCAUAUGUUUCCUAGGUUGAUUUGUGGGAAUUGACAUGCAUUUUAACAUUUUACUGAUUUAUGUAAUAAAUACGUGACCAUAUGCCUAUUUUAGUACUACCAGACACUGAGUUACAGUUUAA